rnacentral:rRNA from 1 species
AUACGGAGGAUCCGAGCGUUAUCCGGAUUUAUUGGGUUUAAAGGGUGCGCAGGCGGGAGAUUAAGUCGGCGGUGAAAUUUUGCAGCUCCACUGGAAAAGUGCCUUCGAAACUGGGUUCCUUGAGUGUAGAUGAAGUAGGCGGAAUUUGUGGUGUAGCGGUGAAAUGCAUAGAUAUCACGAGGAACUCCGAUUGCGCAGGCAGCUUACUAAACUACUACUGACGCUCAGGCACGAAGGCGUGGGGAUCAAACAGGAUUAGAUACCCUGGUAGUCCACGCAGUAAACGAUGAUUACUAGCUGUUUGCGAUACAAUGUAAGCGGCUGAGCGAAAGCGUUAAGUAAUCCACCUGGGGAGUACGUUCGCAAGAAUGAAACUCAAAUGAAUUGACGGGG